rnacentral:rRNA from 1 species
GAUGAACGCUGGCGGCGUGCUUAACACAUGCAAGUCGAACGGAAAGGCCCAAGCUUGCUUGGGUACUCGAGUGGCGAACGGGUGAGUAACACGUGGGUGAUCUGCCCUGCACUUCGGGAUAAGCCUGGGAAACUGGGUCUAAUACCGGAUAGGACCACAUUUUGGAUGGUGUGGUGGAAGGUUUUUCGGUGUGGGAUGAGCUCGCGGCCUAUCAGCUUGUUGGUGGGGUAAUGGCCUACCAAGGCGUCGACGGGUAGCCGGCCUGAGAGGGUGUACGGCCACAUUGGGACUGAGAUACGGCCCAGACUCCUACGGGAGGCAGCAGUGGGGAAUAUUGCACAAUGGGCGCAAGCCUGAUGCAGCGACGCCGCGUGGGGGAUGACGGCCUUCGGGUUGUAAACUCCUUUCGCUAGGGACGAAGCGCAAGUGACGGUACCUGGAGAAGAAGCACCGGCUAACUACGUG